AAGGGAGACCUAAUUCAGGUAGGAGACGAAAAGAAAGUAGUCGCUACCAAGAAUCAAUCCCAAAAGGUCGGAGCGAGGCGAAAUUGGCUUUCAAACUAGGUUCUGGGUUCACACAAGACCUGAAUCAGGAACAAGGGCUAUUAGCUCAGGUGGUUAGAGCGCACCCCUGAUAAGGGUGAGGUCCCCGGUUCGAGUCCAGGAUGGCCCACCUGUACAGGUGGCAAAAAGAAAGAAAAGAAGCGAGGAAUCAGCACCUUAUCUUACUGACAUAGUAAGAGAGAAUGCUGGCUCUGAGUAAAGAGUCCAGAGGAACCUUGAAAACUGCAUAGAGCUAGGUGAAAAAGCCAAAAAAGAAGACCGCAA
rnacentral:tRNA from 1 species